rnacentral:rRNA from 1 species
CAGUCCCGCGGGAAUACGUAGGGUGCAAGCGUUAAUCGGAAUUACUGGGCGUAAAGCGUGCGCAGGCGGUUUUGUAAGACAGAGGUGAAAUCCCCGGGCUCAACCUGGGAACUGCCUUUGUGACUGCAAGGCUGGAGUGCGGCAGAGGGGGAUGGAAUUCCGCGUGUAGCUGUGAAAUGCGUAGAUAUGCGGAGGAACACCGAUGGCGAAGGCAAUCCCCUGGGCCUGCACUGACGCUCAUGCACGAAAGCGUGGGUCGCAAACAGGAUUAGAUACCCCUGUAGUCCCUGUCUCUUAUACA